rnacentral:rRNA from 1 species
GACGAACGCUGGCGGCGUGCCUAACACAUGCAAGUUGAGCGACGAACCAGGGCUUGCCCUGGGGCAAAGCAGCGAACGGGUGAGUAACACGUGGGUAACCUACCCCGAUAACCGGGACAACCCGAGGAAACUCGGGCUAAUACCGGAUGUGCUCACUGGACUUCGGUUCAGUGCGUAAAGGAAGCUUCGGCCUCCGUAUCGGGAGGGGCCCGCGGCCCAUUAGUUUGUUGGUGAGGUAACGGCUCACCAAGACCGCGAUGGGUAGCUGGUCUGAGAGGACGAUCAGCCACACUGGGACUGAGACACGGCCCAGACUCCUACGGGAGGCAGCAGUGGGGAAUCUUGCGCAAUGCGCGUAAGCGUGACGCAGCAACGCCGCGUGGGGGAAGAAGGCCUUCGGGUUGUAAACCCCUUUCAGGAGGGACGAAGGUUCGGCGGUGAAUAGCCGUCCGGACUGACGGUACCUCCACAAGAAGCCCCGGCUAACUACGUG